rnacentral:rRNA from 1 species
ACGAACGCUGGCGGCGUGCUUAACACAUGCAAGUCGAACGGUGAUGGAGGAGCUUGCUCCUCCUGAUCAGUGGCGAACGGGUGAGUAACACGUGAGCAACCUGCCCCUGACUCUGGGAUAACCCCGAGAAAUCGGAGCUAAUACCGGAUACGAGACGCACGGGCAUCUGUAGCGUCUAGAAAGAUUUAUCGGUCAGGGAUGGGCUCGCGGCCUAUCAGCUUGUUGGUGAGGUAACGGCUCACCAAGGCGACGACGGGUAGCCGGCCUGAGAGGGCGACCGGCCACACUGGGACUGAGACACGGCCCAGACUCCUACGGGAGGCAGCAGUGGGGAAUAUUGCACAAUGGGCGCAAGCCUGAUGCAGCGACGCCGCGUGGGGGAUGAAGGCCUUCGGGUUGUAAACCCCUUUCAGCAGGGAAGAAGCGAAAGUGACGGUACCUGCAGAAGAAGCGCCGGCUAACUACGU